rnacentral:rRNA from 1 species
AUGGAAGAGUGCUCCAGCUUUGGGGCUUCCCUUUUUCUUCUGAAAUCUGGGCGCUGCUUCAUCGGCACUCUGAAUUUGCUGAACUCGGCUUUUCUCCGAGACCAGUUCCCCUCGAUCAGUGGCAGCAGCAAGCAAGAAGACAAAGGAGCAUGCUCCAUGUUAAUCCUAGUGUGCUUGAGGUGGCUGAUAUGCUACUGUCGUUGUUUUGAUUUCCAAGUCGUCUAUGUUCAUCUUUGUAGAAAAUUUCAGACAUGCUCUUUUGUUUCUCUCCUCCGAUAUUCAUACACAAGUAGGCAAUUUUUGGUUACUUUUUGUACGUGUUCGAUGAACUGGAUGUAUCAAUUAACCGCAGCCACUUUUCCAUCCGGUUAG